UAGAACAAAUCAAACCAAACGGGACGCCAAAUAUACUUCUCUCAGGGCCAAUUGGGUCUGGCAAAUCAUCUUUUAUAAAUGCCGUUUUUUCUAUUGGAGAAGGGAAAAAGGUCUCAAGGGCCCAGGCUGGAAGCUCUGCAUCAAGUUAUACUAUUGAGUACAAAGGAUACAAACAAAAGACACUUUUAAAGAAUUUUAUACUUCGAGACACAAUGGGAAUAGAGCCAAAUAAUGAUGUUGGAUUCCACAUUGAUGACUUCAUUUACCUAGUGAAGGGUCAUAUUAAAAAUAAUUACCAGUUUCAUCCUGCCUGUCCAAUUACAACACAGAGUCUAUUUUAUCGAAAGGAACCAGAGCCAAUGGAUGUGAUUCAUUGCGUGAUCUUUGUUAUCAGCACUGUUGAUAUUUAUAAUGAUAUACCGCACGCUUUUGUACGCAAAAUUGGUCAACUUCAAAGCAAGCUUCGAU